GUGCCAGCCGCCGCGGUAAUACGGAGGGUGCGAGCGUUGUCCGGAAUCACUGGGCGUAAAGGGCGCGUAGGCGGCCUGAUAAGUAGGGGGUGAAAUCCUGCGGCUUAACCGCAGGGCUGCCUUCUAAACUGUCAGGCUCGAGCACAGUAGAGGCAGGUGGAAUUCCCGGUGUAGCGGUGGAAUGCGUAGAGAUCGGGAAGAACAUCAGUGGCGAAGGCGGCCUGCUGGGCUGUUGCUGACGCUGAGGCGCGACAGCGUGGGGAGCAAACAGGAUUAGAUACCCCCGUAGUCC
rnacentral:rRNA from 1 species